CCAAGCGCCACGGACGGCCUCCUAGCCGGAGAAGAAGACUAACCCACUGCCAUGGCCGCUUUCAAGCCAUGGAGUAAAGUGCAGAUGCAUGUGCAGGACCUCAAUCGUGACGCAAAACGAUUAUAAAUCCGAACGCAAUUAGUGGUGUGUUAUAGAAGUGCUCGUUUAGGGUUUCGUACCUGUUGAUUGGGGCUUCCUAGCCUAUUUAGUGCUCAAUUGGUUAGGCUAUUUUGAUAGGAAAUGGAGAAGAACAAAACCUUAACUUUUGAAGACUCGUGUUGAAUGUAAAGGCCAAGAUUUCGGUAUUUUUCCUCUCCCCCAUUUGUAGAGGUCUCUCUUUUUGGCAACUCAUGCCAAUAGAAGUUUUCUUUUGCUGCAUGUGAGUUUCAGGUGAAAAGGGGGAAUAUAAAUGAUAGGAUGAAGAUACUCCAAGCUUUUGUUCCUGGAUAUGAGAUUGAAGCAAAAAGUAGAAAUCACAACUUCAGCAAAGAACUCGCUUUCAAGGAAGGGGUUUGAUCAUUGCUGCUUUUUGAGAAUGUUUUCAGGGGUUUGCGUCUUUUGUCUGCCAUAUUUGACCUCCGAGUGAAAGGGAGAGAAGCUAUUUUUUUCCUCAGACCAUUUUCAAUCAACUGCAAAAGUAAAAGUACCAAUUAGGCCCGAGUGAUUUUUGUGCCAUGGUGAGGAAGCAUAAAAAGGGAUGGACCCAUGGGAGCUUAAAUUAUUGAGAUAAGAGGAGAGUUACUUUACUUUGUUAUUAGAACUUGCACAUGAUCAAGCUGCAACAAUUUGAUAUUUUGUUAUCAAUAUGGUUGUUGGUGAUUAUAAUGAUCAAGUAUGGACAUAAAGGAGACCAAUUGGACGAAAGGCAAAAUUUCAAUCACCUAUGAGGCAAAGUUGACUACCAUCUUGAGGAUUCCCCCC